rnacentral:lncRNA from 1 species
AUUAAAGGCGUGCGCCAUUAAUUGGGGUUGGCUUACAGCUUCAGAGGUUUAGUCCAUUAUCAUCAAGAUGGGAAGCAUGGCUGCAUACAGGCAGUCAUGGUACUGCGGGAGUUGAGAAUUCUACCUGGUGAUCCUCUGGCAGCAGAAGGAGACUGUGUACCACACUGGGCAUAGCUUGAGUGUCCUAAUAUUGCUACUUUCUAAGGGCCAUGCAUUCAAUUACAGGAGUCAGUGGGGGCCAUUCCUAUUCAAACCACCACACAUUCAAAUAACAAAAGGAAAGGAAAAUAUCUACCCAAUGAGCACUUACUGGAUACUUAUCAUAUGCAAAACAAUAUCCAGGUAAAUAACAGGAUGUGUUUAUUCUGUUUAGAUCAAUAGAUAGUAAAGUUGUAUACAGUGAAUAAACAAUAAAUUUUCAGCUAGAAAUAACUUCCUGAAGCCAAAUUCAAAUCUGGGCCCAAACUGAGUGAAGUAGAAGCUCCCUAAGACAACGUGAUGAAAGAUAAGAAAUUGUCUUGAAGGCAGGUUGGUGAACACACAAUUGUCCUAGUGUAAGACUGAAGAUUCUGCAUGAUAGCCCCUGUGACGAUGCCCUGUGCCUUCAGCUACUCUUCUGACACGGUUGUUUCUGUAUGAACUUUUUAUGUUAUCAUAUCAAGUGACAAGACUGCUUUACUAUAGUGCACACAUACAAGACUAUUUAAUUGAAUACAACAUUUUAAUACAUACAAGGACAGUAUAAAGUGGAUCCAGAUAUUAUAGAGCGGCCCAGAAACCAUGUCCAAUGAAAACCAGUUGAAAGACACAACACUUGGAAGAGAGGAGCUUCUCAGCACAGGGAAGCUCUGCUUACAUACUCUCCUUAACUCUUGUUACUGAAAAACCCAAACUUGUACAUUGGUGCACGCCUCAUAUAGAUCAAGCAAUAGCAGCCACAUUGGAAGACACAACAAGUUUAAAAGCUUUGGGCCUAGGGCAGUGGCUCUUACCCUUCCUAAUGCUGUGGCCCUUUAAUAUAGCUCCUUAUGUUGUGAUAACCAAUAAUAAAAUUAUUUUUGUUGCUACUUCACAACUGUAAUUUUGCUACUGUUAUGAAUUUCACUAUAAAUAUCUGUGUUUUCUGAUGGUCUUAGGUGACUCCUGUGAAAGGGUCAUUCAGUCCCUAAAAUGGUUGUAACUAUUAGGUUGAGAAUCACUGAUCUAGCGAGAUGUUAGUGAUGGAAAAUUGAAUCCUGCCUUUCUCAUGCUUGGUAUAAAGGGAAAAAUCAUAAAUUAAAACAACUCAUAAAGACCGAGAAGAGAAGGAAACUUUAGACAUGGUGGGAAAGGAAUCAACCUUGGAAUUAUUUUUUAGUACGUAAGAAAUACAGAUUCUCUUUCUAUGCAAGGGGUUUUGGUGUAAUUGUUGCUCAAGCUAAGCAUGAACUUACUGUGCUGGGCGGAUAGACCUCAAAUGUGUGACCCUGUAGCCUCAGCCUUGAGUAGCUGAGAUUGUAAGGCCAUGACAGCACACUUGGCUUAUUUACCCUAGUGUGCUUAUGUGGCUAAAAUAACCAUCCAAGCUGUAAUAAACAGAGAAACCAGUAAAGAAACAAAAGUUGUUCCCCACAGUUUACAGUACCUCCACCCCAACCAGCCCAUUUGAGAACAUUAGGAAAAUCAGAACUGGUUUAGCUAAAAUCAUAAAAGGAAUUAAGUUCCAAAUAAGUACUACACUUUAAAAUGAAUAUUAGACUAUUCGUAAUAUUAGCUGGAUUUCAGGAAUACUUUCUCUGCAUCUAUGGCUAGCUCAUUGUUCUCAGUAAGGUAGUGUGAUACACAGACCUUGUUCAAAGGUAGACUGGUUCUCUUUUGACUUGGAGAAACCGUGUACGAGCAGCUCUCUUUGUUAAGGGUAUAAUUCUCUCCCUAUUUGUCCCUGUGUGACUUUUUCUUAGCUUCUGUGGAAAUCCACAGAAACGUUUUUCUUUUCUCUCUCUUUUUUUUCCAGAUAGAAUUUCAUUAUAUAGCCCUUGUUGUCCUAGAACUCCUUAUUUAGGUCAGGCUGGCCUCGAACUCAUAGAGAUCCACCUUGCCUCUACCUCCUUAGUGCGGGGGAUUAAAGGUGUGCACCUUUGCCCCCCCCCCAAAAAAAAAAACCAAAAACCAAAAACCAAAAACCAAAAAACAGAUUUUGAGGUAAUUGACUGUGUUCAUUGGGAAUGAUUCCUGUUGUAUAGAAAUUAUACUUCCAUCCUUACUUAGGUUUCUAGAAUUUUCUGAGUUUUGGGUCAUUCCAGCCUCCUCUUAUCAGACUUUUCCCAGUGCAUACAUGCUCACAAAGGGCCUUAAUCACACUUGCUCUCAUUUAUCCUCCUUUGAGAGAGGGAAUCACUUGUGCUUUUAAUAAUCAUGUUUUUUUUUCCCUUUAAAGAAGAAAACAGCCUUUGAAAUAAGAACAAUCUUUUAAAUUAG